GGUUGUGCGCGCGAGUGGUCAGGGAGCGGUCUGCAAAACCGCGUACGCCGGUUCGAUCGCGGUCACGGCCG
rnacentral:tRNA from 1 species